AAUUUUAUAAUCUUUAAAAAAAAAACUUUAUACUUAAACUUGUUUCCUUUUAAAUAUUUUUAUAAAUGUUUAUGUUAUUUGAAAAAAAGUACAUUGAAAAACUGUACAUUGCUAUUGUAUUUAUUGGCUAGGAAGGUAAAUAUGUUGACAUGUUGCGUGCAUACUUCUCGCCAUUUUUUUAACAUCUUGAAUUGCUGGGAGGAGAACAAGGAUGUUCGCGUUACAGCCUCUUCGAAACACACACACCACUUAACUAGAAGCUUUAUUGUGGUAUUAACUUAAAUCUUAGAAAUAGUUAACUAUCAGGUCUACACAGAGAGGAAUGUAAAGGAAAAUUUUUAGAAUCUUCUAAUCAAUAGCUAACAACUAGUGAUUGUUUCCAAAUCCUUCAAGAAUUUAGUAGUGAAGACAGUUGCCUCACCCGAAAAUAUAUGAAAAGUCGAGCUUUUUGUAAAAAGUUGCACUUCAACAG